rnacentral:misc_RNA from 1 species
AUACUUUCACUGCUAGAUCCGGAGAUAUUCUUCAAAGCGUUGGAUUUUGCUGGAACCUAUGGAGUUUUGGUGCUUUUUGGACUUCUUCCAGCUGCAAUGUCCUGGUCAGACAGAUAUUCGGAAUCAACUCAAACUCCAAACUUACCUCCGUUGGUUCCCGGAGGAAAGAUCACCCUUUCACUUGUUUUUGGAGGUGCAGCAUUGGUCAUUCUUUCAGAAAUAGUAGAGAACUUUGCACAUACAUAGUUGUUGACAAUGGAGGUGAUCAUAUUUAGCUCGUCUCGUCUCGAGUUACCACAUUUCCCAGAAUAUUUCUACAAGUGCUAGCUAAUUUGCAGUGUAUGAACUAUGAAGUACUGUUGUCUGUUGGUAUAUAAUGGUGAAAUUGUUGUGAAUAUGAUCAUGUAGAUAUAUAGAAACAACAACUCUGGAA